CCCAUUCUUAUACUAAGAAUAUUUAGCAGUUACAUAGACAAUGCUUCAUCAAAGUGCUGUACAAGCACUAGCUAAUCUGGGGGAGAAACCAGAAUCUAUUUAUCUUAUUAAUAUGUAUGUCUAAAUACCUACUAGCUAGGCAGGGGAAGAAUGGCUAGUCCCCUGUGCCUGUCACAAGAGGCAGCAUUUGCUAGCACAUGACUCCAAGUAAUGACCCAGGAGAGAUGGUAGUAAACAGCACUCCUCAUGAAAAGAACAUAACUUAUCUGGGUCUCAGUGGAAUGGUUGCAUUUUUCAGGUUCUGGUAUCUCAGAGAGCUGAAAAUCAACCCUGGAGAAUCCAGUAAGAAGGAGCAUGAGUAAUAGCAGGUAACAUGGGAGGAGAAAAUCAGGAGGAAGAUGGAAUCCGAGGAGCAAAUAGCCACAGAUAUAUAAAAACCAAUGAGUAACUGUCCAAGUAUAUUUGAAGCAGGAAGUCUGUCAGAACCGGUGUGUUCACUGGGAUAAAGGGGGCAGUUAAGGAGGAUAAGGACAUUGCAGAGAAGCUAAUGAUUUCUUUCAGCUCUCUCCUCAGACCGUGUUGGGGAGAUGGCUACUCUUUUCAGGUAACAAGAUGAGGUGCUGUCUGAGAUUGAGGUGCCAGAAGAAGAGAGGAUGGAACAAACGGAUAAAAUAAAAGCAACAAGUCACUGGGGCCAGAUAGUAUUCACCCUAGAGUACAGACAGCACUUAAGAAUGAAGUGGCAAAGUGGUUAAUAAAAAUAUCCACUCUCUCAUUGACAUCAGUUACUCUGCCAGAGGAUUGAAGGGUAGCAUAUGCUGCUUUUAAAAUCAGCAGUAGGGUGAUCUGGGGAAUGACAGACGGGUAAGACCUACUUUGGUACCAGGUGCAUUGGUUGCAAUCAGCCUUACAGUACUAGUCGGAGCCACAGCCUUCCCUUUCUCCUCCAAACGCGUCCUCCUCUGAUUUAGUUGUGCCUGGAGAUCAAGCCAUGACUUGCAUUAUACACAGCCUCAGAAAUUCACUUUUGAGACAGAAGACUUCAAAACAAGAGCCAAGCAAAUUUGCACCAUCUCACUGGUGCAGUCUCUUGACCUCGGGGAAGUUCAUAGCUGUUUCUAGUCUCAUCGCAUUCCUAAAGCAGCCAAUGUCUACAGCUUUAGUGAUUAUACGAAGGAUCAAAUAUAAGAGCAUAUUAUACUCCUGUGUUUUUACGGAUUGA
rnacentral:lncRNA from 1 species